rnacentral:rRNA from 1 species
AACGAACGCUGGCGGCAGGCUUAACACAUGCAAGUCGAACGCCCCCGCAAGGGGGAGUGGCAGACGGGUGAGUAACACGUGGGAACAUGCCCUUCGGUUCGGAACAACGUUUGGAAACGGACGCUAAUACCGGAUACGCCCUUUUGGGGAAAGGCUUCGGCCGCCGGAGGAUUGGCCCGCGUUCGAUUAGCUUGAUGGCGGGGUAACGGCCCACCAUGGCGACGAUCGAUAGCUGGUCUGAGAGGAUGGCCAGCCACAUUGGGACUGAGACACGGCCCAAACUCCUACGGGAGGCAGCAGUGGGGAAUAUUGGACAAUGGGCGCAAGCCUGAUCCAGCCAUGCCGCGUGAGUGAUGACGGCCUUAGGGUUGUAAAGCUCUUUCGCCCGCGACGAUAAUGACGGUAGCGGGAGAAGAAGCCCCGGCUAACUUCGUGCCAGCCGCCGCCGUAAAAC